CUCGCGAUCCACCCGCCUUGGCCUCCCAGAGUGCUGGGAUUACAGGCUUAAGUCACCGCGCCUGGCCAUAAGCCCUGUAACUAUUUAAAGACAAGGUGUUCACACAUCCUUUCCCAAGCUUGCUUAACUUUGGAACUUUCUUUACCCCCACAGAGCCCACUCCAGGAAGUGCUUACCUAGAGCAGUCCUCCCAUUUCACAGAUGGGACCAGGGGAGGAUGGGAACCCAUGCAGCUUCUAAAAUUGGCCGCCUUCUUGAGUCCCCCACAUCCCUAGGGGACUUAGAACUACUCCCCACCUGUUCCCAGGGCUUAGAGAAAUUGUGUCUGGCUGCAGCUGUGAUGUGUGGAAGAAAGGACAUCUGUCUCCUCCUUUUCAGGGGAUGGGGGUAAAUGGAGUAGGGGGUGGGGAAGGGAGAACUAGGCCUCUUGAAAGGGAGGAAUAAUUUCACAGAGUAGAAGAUCAAGACAGCUGGGCAGCGCCCCCGCCACCCCGCCCAAGAACGCUUUAUGCCUCCCAGGUCUUAGCAGGGACCACCCAGAUGACCUCUCAGGAAGCCAAGUCCCAGCCCUAACAUCGAAUCCUGCAGUUGUUAGGCCUAAAGAGACACUAUCCCUGGCCUCAGUUUCCCAAUUUGCAAAUGGCUCCUUUCUGAAAAUGAAAUCCCUUCCAGUGACAAACUCCCCAGGACCCCAGGCCCAUCAUAGCCUGAGCUGCAUUCCAAGGGAUCUGGGGAAGGAGCUCUAGCACCAUCCAGUUUUCUGGGGGCAUACGGUGAGGUCAGCCCAGGAGAGGAGAGGGGUUGGGAAGCAGCUGCCGUCUGCCCCUACCCACCCUGGCCCCCAGGCAAUCCAUUUUCCACUGGGUCCUGGUUCCUUAUCCACAAAGUGGAUCGAGGUCCCUUGUAGCGCCCAGAAUGGAUCUUCACCUCUAAGGAUUCCCUUUUCCUAACAGUGUCAGGGAUGGCACCAACCUGCUCACAUUCAGGGAGUUAACUCCUGUAGGGGCUUGAGAAAGGUGAUCCUCUCCCAUCCUCUAAAUGUGGGGGAGGACUGAUUAGCCCCCUAUCCCCUGGCAUCACUGGGAUUCCCAUGGUCCUGCAAGAGCUGGAUGGAAGGCUGCAGAGAAGGAAGCCAGGAAAAGCCCCUCCCAGCACCCCCUUAUACGCCAUUCCAGGACUUUGUCCUCCCAGCCCUGAACCCAGCCAAUGCAGCUGUUCUCCAGAUUCAGACAAAGACCUGACACUUCUUCCAACCGGGCCGAGCUGGGCAGUCUGUGGACGGGUGAUGGAGUCGGUGUGGCACAGAGAGAGGCCAGGGAGAGCCAGCGCCGGUAGAGUCUGCAUGGCUCGUCCUCGGCUCCACGCCCUCCGUGCGAAGACCGGACUGAGAUAGCCACGUUCUGUGGGGCCCAGUCUGGCCCUCGGCAGCUCUCCCCCUCCCACUCUGCUCCUCAGCCACAUGCCCUUGGGCUGAGCUAAGUCCAGAACCCGGCUGAGUAGGGGAAUUGUUCUGAGAAAGUGGCCCGUUGGCUGGUUGCUAUGGAAACCGACAUACCACAGAGCUGACCCCGGAGAGGUUUAGCACGCUCCCCCAGCAGGGAUGCCAGCAGCUGGACUGCAGCUGUUACCGCGGGAGUGGGGGCUGGAGCUGUCGCCAGAAGUCCCUGCUGUUUGCCUAAACUAGGUCCGCCAGCAGAUCCCCUCCAUUAGCUCCCACCCCGCUCCUCCUCAUGCGGCCUCCCCUACUGCUAUGGAUGGGAAGGGAGCUGCGGAGCCUGCCCUGGCAGGAUGGGGGUGGGGUAGGAUGGGGGUGGGGUGGGGUGGGGUAGGGGAGGUUGGCUCUAGAGAGAGGAGGUCUCCUUUAUGAACCAAGGCACAUCCUUGAAGGGUAGGGCAAUGUCCUACCCUUUGCAAUGUCCUACCCAUUGCAUUUCUGGGGAAACUGAGGCCCAAGGAAAAAUAGGAAUUGUUCCCCAGUCACACAAUCAGGGCAUGCUAGAGCUGGGGUUGGCACCCAGCUGAGUCUAGAGGCACCACACCACUGGUUCUGGCCCUCUGUGCUGUGCUCUUGGCCCUCCCUGCAGCAAUUCAGCACACACUAUGGAGCCUGCCCAGUGCAGACAGCAGCAUUGAACCAGCAUCACUCCUGACACAACCUCGGGGAGGGCGGGGGCGCACCGAUGACUGAACAAAAGGAGCACCAGGAAACAGAUCAUAGAAAUAGAAAGAGGAACACGUAGAGAGGAAAAGGAGGGUGUGUGAGUCGGGGAGCAGGAGGGUACGUGUGGGAGAGGGAAACAGAGAGGUAAGGAGAGGCAGAGAAAGUUACAGAAAGAAAAAAGAGAGGUGAUGAGGUGCCCAGAAUGAGUGGAAAGAAAGGAUAAGAUCACCUCCCUCCCCCAGCGAGCUCCGAGCCCCUCCCAGCGCAAAGCCUGUGGGGUAGAGAGAGGAUUGCAUCAGAAAGGAGAAGGAGGGAGGAAGGGUGGGAGGGCUGAUUGGGGGAGCAGGGCAAAGGUGGAGUGGGUAUUACAAUCUGUUUCUGGGAGGCAUCUCCUGCCAUCCCACAAUGCCUCAAGCUCCCUGAGUGGCCUAGCACAAACACACCAGCCUGCCUCCCACCGUGACGUGGCACUUCUAGACUCAGGAGGGCUAAUCUGCAAUGGGACGCUAAGCAAACACCCCCUCAGUCAGAGAGAUGAGAUAGCACUACCCUCCCUGAGUGCCUGACCAGUCCUCCAUCCUCACGCGUGGCUGCCAGAACACAAGCUUCCUUUCAUUCCUCAUGGUCUGUUCUGACCCUCAUCCCCACCUCUCCAGAGUCAUCACUCCUUCCGGCCCAAGGGGAGACGCAGCUGCGGAAAGAACCCCCCGCCGCCUCCACUGCGCCACUGUCUGGCCCCUACUCUUCAGCCCUUCCUCAUCUAGAGCUGGAUCUGACACCAAAGGCGUCUUGUGAGCAGUGUCAUGAUCGAGAAUGAAUACUCUGGACUUGGUGGCUGGCUCCUUGUGAAGAAGAAUUCCAUCAGAUUCCAUUUGAUUAACCUGCAUUGAGAUCCUAAUACAUGUCCGACACUAUGCAGAAAUACUUCACUCCCUCUUCCGUGGCAGACCACGAUGAACUAGGGUUUGCUGUUUUCACGGCUUCUGUCACUGUUGGAGCUGAGACUGAGGCUGCAGCAGGAGCUCCUCUGGCCCCAAGGCAAGAGACAUGUUCUCUGCAUCCCCAGAGGACCCACAGCAACUUCUGGUUUGGGUUAAAGAGGACUUGGGUGACCCCACCCUGCCAGUCAUCCACCCUCUGGCAGCCAGGGCAGCAGCAGGGGAGAGGGCAGGAGGGCCACAGUGCUGCUCUCCCCUGCCAUUUCCUCUGCAGCUCCCUCUCUGGCCCUGUUUUUCAGACCUCUAGUAAUAAAAACAAGCCAAUAAAAUGAACAUGAAAAUAUAUUCAUUAGGAUUUAUAAUGCUCAUUAAAACUGCCUGUGUACGAAAGCAUGACUUAGCUUCAUAUAAGUGGGAAAAAAAUGCAAAUUAUACUGCAUGCAAAGAAGAUAUUUCCCUAAUCGUCCAAUCAAAUGCCAGCCCAAUUAUCUGUGGCCAACCCAAUGGGUUAAAAUUAUACUCUCUUUCCUUGGACACAGUGAGGCGCCUGAAAGUGUUUCAUUUUAAUAAAAAUGAAAUCUGGACCCUGCAGAAAACCAGCUUCACUAAUGACGUGUUUACACAGAGAAAGACAAUUUCUAGUUAAUGGUGAUUACUACCGAGAACAAAUUAAACUUCCCGGAGUAUAUGGGUUAGAGAUAAUGGGAAAGAGGGGGAAAAAGUUAUGGUUUUAGUAUGUGUGUGGUGCUUGAGGGGACAGGGUGACAGGAAGAAAGAAGCUAAGGAAAGUCUACGAGGAAGCUGAGGAUGCAGGGGUGCUGGGGUGGGUGUGGCAGGAAAAAGCUUUGGUGACUGGCUGCACUGGUUCUACCAGGGUUGGGGCCUGACAAUAAGGCAGUAGGGGGCUGGCAGCUGGCUCUGGCGUCCUAAAACCCCAGGGAUGGCCAUCUUCAACUGCGGCAGGGCUGAAUUCUUUCUGCAAGCUCAGGUGCCCUGAAGCCUGCCACUUUUCCUUCUUGGGAAGCAGGUUAACAAAUCCCUGCCAUUAACAGUCACUGAAAGUGCUUCCUACUCCACACCACUGGCUUAGUGAUGAGACCAGAGGCAGGCCUGAGCCUCCAAGCUCUCAUGCAAAGCCUAAGUGAGCAGACAAGCUUCAGAGGGGCAGCAAAAUGGAAGCAAAACAGACAGGAGACAGAAUGCUAGAGAGACAAUGACGAGGAAAAUGGCAACCUAAAUUUACCUGCCGUUUACCAAGUCCUUGCCAUACGGCGGGUACUAUUCUAAAAUGUCACCCCUUUUCAUCCUUACCCGUGGGCAGGAUAAUCAGCUGCUGCUGCUUCAUUUUUGCAGCGGGCAAACUGAGGCUGAGAGAAGUUACUAACUGCCCAAUGUCAGAUUCUUAGUAAGUGAAGAAGUUGGAUUUCAAAUCCAGAUUUGUUUGAUUGCGAAGCCCGUACUCCUAACCGUUGCUGGAAUAAACAUGGAGGUAUCCUAUCAGGAUCGGGCAGGCCUUGAAAACAGCCUCCAGCUCACUGGCCGGACCCUGCACUCGACUUCUGUGGCCACUGGAGGCUGGUUUGACCAUUGGAGGCCAUGAAGAUGUUCUUUCAACAGCAUAAUCUCAGAAAGUACCAGAUGGUUCCUGCUUCCCCUCUCCCUCUCCCCUACCUCCUAAGAGCAGGUGAGCCAGUGGGGACAGCGAGGAGGGAAGGGAGCAGGGAUUCCUCUAGUGCUGAGUUUUAAUGUAUAUUCUUUUGUAAACAAGAACAAUCAUUCGUGAACAGGCCCAGAUGCAAACAGUCCCCAAAUCAGGAAUUCCAGCUCAGAGGCGCAGAAUAAUACAGCUUUGGGGAAGAUUUAAUAAUAGUAAAAUUAAAAUUGUAACUGAAGCAUAAUGAAGAAUGUGGUACAAACAAGCACUGCAAAGAAAAAAACAACAACAACAACAAAAAAGCAAACCCUACACAGAUUAGCCCCUAUGGAAUAGUGAUUGGUUGAGAGCAACAGUAAACAAUGCACAGAAAUGCAACUUAAUUAUCUCGCAAUUCUCAACAUUCUACCAAAGCCACAAGGAAAGCUUUGAUGUUGGCAGCCGAGACAGAGGCGCUGCAGUGGAAGCAGCAGCUUCUCUCUCCCCUGCUCCUGGAGGAAGAUCAUUACUAAGAAAUCUGCAGCCACUACAGCAGCUGAGCCAGAGAAGAGCAGCAGGACUGAUCUGCUGAGAAACUAGGAAGUGG